AUUUAAAUAGCUUAAAUCUAAAGCGUAGUAUUGAAGAUACUAAAAUAGUGUGAUACUUUUAAAUA
rnacentral:tRNA from 1 species